UGGCGGACGGGUGAGUAAAGUAUCGGAACGUACCAUUGAGUGGGGGAUAACGUAGCGAAAGUUACGCUAAUACCGCAUAUACCCCGAGGGGGAAAGCAGGGGAUCGCAAGACCUUGUGCUCUUUGAGCGGCCGAUAUCAGAUUAGCUAGUUGGUGAGGUAAAGGCUCACCAAGGCGACGAUCUGUAGCGGGUCUGAGAGGAUGAUCCGCCACACUGGAACUGAGACACGGUCCAGACUCCUACGGGAGGCAGCAGUGGGGAAUUUUGGACAAUGGGGGCAACCCUGAUCCAGCCAUGCCGCGUGAGUGAAGAAGGCCUUCGGGUUGUAAAGCUCUUUCGGCCGGGAGGAAAUCGCAUAGGUUAAUACCCUGUGUGGAUGACAGUACCGGAAUAAGAAGCACCGGCUAACUACGUGCCAGCAGCCGCGGUAAU
rnacentral:rRNA from 1 species